GUGUGGCCUUAGUGGUUAGAGCGUCUGCCUCUGAUGAGGGAGGUCGCGGGUUCGAAUCAUGGCCGAGUCA